rnacentral:rRNA from 1 species
GACGAACGCUGGCGGCGUGCUUAACACAUGCAAGUCGAACGCUGAAGCUUGGUGCUUGCACUGGGUGGAUGAGUGGCGAACGGGUGAGUAAUACGUGAGUAACCUGCCCUUGACUCUGGGAUAAGCCUGGGAAACUGGGUCUAAUACUGGAUACGGCAUGUCACCGCAUGGUGGUGUGUGGUAAGGGUUUUACUGGUUUUGGAUGGGCUCACGGCCUAUCAGCUUGUUGGUGGGGUAAUGGCUCACCAAGGCGACGACGGGUAGCCGGCCUGAGAGGGUGACCGGCCACACUGGGACUGAGACACGGCCCAGACUCCUACGGGAGGCAGCAGUGGGGAAUAUUGCACAAUGGGCGGAAGCCUGAUGCAGCGACGCCGCGUGAGGGAUGACGGCCUUCGGGUUGUAAACCUCUUUCAGCACGGAAGAAGCGAAAGUGACGGUACGUGCAGAAGAAGCGCCGGCUAACUACGUG